GACGAACGCUGGCGGCGUGCUUAACACAUGCAAGUCGAACGGAAAGGCCCUGCUUUUGUGGGGUGCUCGAGUGGCGAACGGGUGAGUAACACGUGAGUAACCUGCCCUUGACUUUGGGAUAACUUCAGGAAACUGGGGCUAAUACCGGAUAGGAGCUCCUGCUGCAUGGUGGGGGUUGGAAAGUUUCGGCGGUUGGGGAUGGACUCGCGGCUUAUCAGCUUGUUGGUGGGGUAGUGGCUUACCAAGGCUUUGACGGGUAGCCGGCCUGAGAGGGUGACCGGGCACAUUGGGACUGAGAUACGGCCCAGACUCCUACGGGAGGCAGCAGUGGGGAAUAUUGCACAAUGGGCGGAAGCCUGAUGCAGCAACGCCGCGUGCGGGAUGACGGGCUUCGGGUUGUAAACCGCUUUCGCCUGUGACGAAGCGUGAGUGACGGUAAUGGGUAAAGAAGCACCGGCUAACUACGUG
rnacentral:rRNA from 1 species